rnacentral:tRNA from 1 species
GGGGCGGUGGCGGAAAUGGCAGACGCAGAGGACUUAAAAUCCUCCGGUAGUAAUACCUUGUGGGUUCAAUUCCCACCCGCCCUA